rnacentral:rRNA from 1 species
UACAGAGGUCUCAAGCGUUGUUCGGAUUCAUUGGGCGUAAAGGGUGUGUAGGUGGCGCCGUAAGUCGGGUGUGAAAUUUCGGAGCUUAACUCCGAAACUGCAUUCGAUACUGCGGUGCUUGAGGACUGGAGAGGAGACUGGAAUUCAUGGUGUAGCAGUGAAAUGCGUAGAUAUGCGGAGGAACACCGAUGGCGAAGGCAAUCCCCUGGGCCUGUACUGACGCUCAUGCACGAAAGCGUGGGGAGCAAACAGG